GGUUUCUUGGCAGAUUGGUUAUGCGCAGGACUGCAACUCCUGUCAAGCUGGUUCGAUUCCAGCAGAAAUCUCCA
rnacentral:tRNA from 1 species